AUUGAACGCUGGCGGCAGGCCCAACACAUGCAAGUCGAGCGGAUGAAGGGAGCUUGCUCCUGGAUUCAGCGGCGGACGGGUGAGUAAUGCCUAGGAAUCUGCCUGGUAGUGGGGGAUAACGUCCGGAAACGGGCGCUAAUACCGCAUACGUCCUGAGGGAGAAAGUGGGGGAUCUUCGGACCUCACGCUAUCAGAUGAGCCUAGGUCGGAUUAGCUAGUUGGUGGGGUAAAGGCCUACCAAGGCGACGAUCCGUAACCGGUCUGAGAGGAUGAUCAGUCACACUGGAACUGAGACACGGUCCAGACUCCUACGGGAGGCAGCAGUGGGGAAUAUUGGACAAUGGGCGAAAGCCUGAUCCAGCCAUGCCGCGUGUGUGAAGAAGGUCUUCGGAUUGUAAAGCACUUUAAGUUGGGAGGAAGGGCAGUAAGUUAAUACCUUGCUGUUUUGACGUUACCAACAGAAUAAGCACCGGCUAACUUCGUG
rnacentral:rRNA from 1 species